rnacentral:rRNA from 1 species
GACGAACGCUGGCGGCGUGCUUAACACAUGCAAGUCGAACGGAAAGGCCCUGCUUUUGUGGGGUGCUCGAGUGGCGAACGGGUGAGUAACACGUGAGUAACCUGCCCUUGACUUUGGGAUAACUUCAGGAAACUGGGGCUAAUACCGGAUAGGAGCUCCUGCUGCAUGGUGGGGGUUGGAAAGUUUCGGCGGUUGGGGAUGGACUCGCGGCUUAUCAGCUUGUUGGUGGGGUAGUGGCUUACCAAGGCUUUGACGGGUAGCCGGACUGAGAGGGUGACCGGCCACAUUGGGACUGAGAUACGGCCCAGACUCCUACGGGAGGCAGCAGUGGGGAAUAUUGCACAAUGGGCGGAAGCCUGAUGCAGCAACGCCGCGUGCGGGAUGACGGCCUUCGGGUUGUAAACCGCUUUCGCCUGUGACGAAGCGUGAGUGACGGUAAUGGGUAAAGAAGCACCAGCUAACUACGUG